AACGGCCGCGGUAUCCUAACCGUGCAAAGGUAGCAUAAUCACUUGCCUAUUAAUUGUAGGCUAGAAUGAAUGGGUUAACGAAAUAAAGACUGUCUCAAUUAAUCACCUAAAAAUUACUAUCUAUCUGAAGAAGAAUAGAUAAUCUCGAAGGACAAGAAGACCCUAUAGAGCUUAAUUUUAAUUAUAGAGCUACACUAUAAAAAUAUUCGGUUGGGGCGACCCAGGGCCAAUCAAUCACCCACUACAUAAAAGAUAAAUUAAUCAAGUAAUUGACCCCUAAAAGAUCAUAAGAACAAGCUACCUUAGGGAUAACAGGCUAAUCCCACUCAAGAGUCCUUAUCAACAGUGGGGUUUGGCACCUCGAUGUUGGCUUAGG
rnacentral:rRNA from 1 species